rnacentral:rRNA from 1 species
ACGCUCGACACCUACGGGAGACAGCAGUGGGGAAUAUUGCACAAUGGGGGAAACCCUGAUGCAGCGACGCCGCGUGAGCGAAGAAGUAUUUCGGUAUGUAAAGCUCUAUCAGCAGGGAAGAAACUGACGGUACCUGACCAAGAAGCACCGGCUAAAUACGUGCCAGCACGCCGCAAGUAAUCUGAGGCGGGCGUGGACGAAGGC